GUGCUUGCUUCAGCAGAACGUAUACUAAAAUUAGAUUGAUACUGAGAUUAGCAUGGCCCCUGCACAAAGAUAACAAUGGAAAUCCCUGAAGUGCUCCAUAUUUUU